AUUGAACGCUGGCGGCAUGCCUUACACAUGCAAGUCGAACGGUAACGCGGGGCAACCUGGCGACGAGUGGCGAACGGGUGAGUAAAGCAUCGGAACGUGCCCAGUAGUGGGGGAUAGCCCGGCGAAAGCCGGAUUAAUACCGCAUACGACCUACGGGUGAAAGGGGGGGAUCGCAAGACCUCUCGCUAUUGGAGCGGCCGAUGUCAGAUUAGCUAGUUGGUGGGGUAAAGGCCUACCAAGGCGACGAUCUGUAGCUGGUCUGAGAGGACGACCAGCCACAAUGGGACUGAGACGCGGCCCAGACUCCUACGGGAGGCAGCAGUGGGGAAUUUUGGACAAUGGACGCAAGUCUGAUCCAGCCAUGCCGCGUGCGGGAAGAAGGCCUUCGGGUUGUAAACCGCUUUAGUCAGGGAAGAAAUCUUCUGGGUUAAUACCUCGGGAGGAUGACGGUACCUGAAGAAUAAGCACCGGCUAACUACGUGCCAGCCGCCGCAGUAAAAC
rnacentral:rRNA from 1 species